GACAGAGGGUGCGAGCGUUAUUCGGAAUUAUUGGGUGUAAAGGGUGCGUAGGCGGUUUUGUAAGUCUUUUAUUAAAUACUAUGUCUUAAAUAUAGUGCUGUAAUUGAUACUGUAAAACUAGAGAACGGGAGAGGUAAGUGGAAUUCAUAGUGGAGAGGUAGAAUUCGAGGAUAUUAUGAGGAACACCAGAAGCGAAGGCGAUUUGCUGGAACGUUUCUGACGCUGAGGCACGAAAGCGUGGGGAUCAAACAGG
rnacentral:rRNA from 1 species